UUUAUCUUAAAUAAAAUAGGUGUGUGUGUGUGUUGGAGGAUAUUUGAUCACAUUGUGAACUCCCAAGAGUUAUUUACUGGAAACCGCUGUUUUUUAGUUGUGGUGUGGUUCAGCCUUAUACCUUUUGUCCAAGAGCUUUCUGCUUGAAUGUUGUAAACUGGAUUAAAUAAAGUCAUCUGUAGGUCAAGAAGCUGAGCAAGCAACCAGUUGACAGGAAGUGAAUGUAAGAUUAUGAGAAAAACAAGAAAGUAAGGGAGAGUUAGGAUGCAUAGGAAGUAGAAGGGAGUGCCAUUGAGGGGAUUCCUUGAGGAAAAUGAGCUGGGUGCUUUCCCUGCCUCUGAGCUAUCAGGCAUUCACCCCAGCAUCCUGCCCCUGAGUCUAACAAUUGAGAUUUUGUUAAAAAAACAGCAGGUGUGAAUGCCUAUAAUCCCUGGCUCUAAGACAAAGUGUGGAAACAGGCAGGAAGAAGGGGGUAGUAGAAGGCCAUUGUUCUCUUAAUUGGUUAUUAGACAUAUGUAUCUAAUACCUUAAGUCUGAAGCCACCACCUCCCAAAUUUGAUAUAGAUCCUCCCCAGACUGAGUUCAAACUCAUGUAGUAAGUAAAUUAUUUUGUUGAAAGUUUUCUAUUAUAUCCAAGAUUUUGCUUCUUUACCUCUUUUACAUAUUUUUCCCCACUGGAUAAUAUUUGCAUUUACUACACCAGUUGUUAUUUCAAUUUCCUGCCUAUGACCGGUUUUUAAAAAACACAAGAAACCUUGCACUGGAAGUUUGUUAAUUUAGGGUUUAUGCUAGGAUUUGAAGAAGGGCUUUUUGCUAGGCCACCUUUUAUGUGUACAUGUAUGACUAUGUAGGAGCCUAUUGAGACCAGACGAGGGAGUCAAGUGAAAUCCCCAGAAUUGGAGUAACAGACAUUGUGAGCUGCCAUGUGGGCUUUACCCAGAUCCUCUCUGGAAGAGCAACAAGUUCUCUUAAUUGCUCAGCUAUCUCUUUAGCCACCCCACCACCACCACCCCACCCCCCGCCCCCAUGGACCAGUUUUGAGAAAAGUUAAUUUGUGUGCUUGCCUCAGAUUCACCUUCCUUCUUAGCCUCCUGAUUGCAGGAAUUACAGCUGUAGUGCUUUAACUAUUGAGGCCUGCGCUUGCAUUUCUUUUUUUUUUUUUAAUUAAAAUUCAUUUGUUUUAUGUAUGAGUACACUGUAGCUGUCUUCAGACACACCAGAAGAGGGCAUCAGGUACCAUCCAUUACAGAUGGUUGUGAGCCACCUUGUGGUUGCUGGGAAUUGAACUCUGGACCUCUGGAAAAGCAGUCAGUGAGUGCUCUUAACUCCUGAGCCAUCUCUCCAGCCCUAAAAGUGAAUUUUUUUUUUAAGAUUUAUUUAUUAUUAUAUGUAAGUACACUGUAGCUGUCUUCAGACACACCAGAAGAGGGAGUCAGAUCUUGUUAUGGAUGGUUGUGAGCCACCAUGUGGUUGCUGGGAUUGGAACUCUGGACCUUCGGAAGAGCAGUCAGGUGCUCUUACCCACUGAGCCAUCUCACCAGCCCAAAAGUGAAUUUUUUAAAAAUGUAUUUAUUCAUUUAUUUAUUUUAACUGCUCCAGUCGAUGGGAGGGGACUUUAUUUGGUCCCAGGGUCACAGGUCAGGUAUGACCCCAACUUUAUUUGCCCUUCUUCUUGGGGCGCAGGUUGUUAGAAUGACCACACUUCCUCUUACGGCAGUUGACAGCACGAGGGUGCAGGCGUGCAUAGCACUUGCGGCAGAUCAUCUUGUCACAGUUGUACUUCUGGGCAAGCUGACGAAGGGACGGCUCAAUGAUGCCACCUCGCAGACGCAGCACCAGGUGCAAGGUGGACUCUUUCUGGAUGUUGUAAUCAGACAGGGUGUGGCCAUCCUCUAGCUGUUUGCCGGCGAAUAUCAGCCUCUGCUGGUCAGGUGGGAGGCCCUCCUUGUCUUGGAUCUUGGCCUUGACAUUCUCGAUGGUGUCACUGGGCUCUACCUCAAGAGUGAUGGUCUUGCCCAUCAGGGUCUUCACGAAGAUCUGCAUGUUGGCAAAGAUCUGCAUGUUGGCGUCUGCCACUCAGCCACCUCAUUGAAGAGAAAUAAAAGUGAAUUCUUAGUGCACUAGUUUUCAGAUAACUAUCUUUCAGUUAAAGACAUUGUAUAAUGGAGAAAAAGGACAUGUACGCAGCUGAAUAAACAGGUUGGACCAGAAUGGCCUUGAACUUACAGAGAUACGCCUAGCUCCUGAGUGCUUUUUUUGUUUUUUUUUUUUUUUUUUUUUUCUGAAACAGGGUUUCUCUGUGUAGCCCUGGGCUGUCCUGGAACUCACUUGGUAGACCAGGCUGGCCAUGAACUCAGAAAUCUGCCUGCCUCUGCCUCCCAAAUGCUGGGAUUAAAGGCGUGCACCACCACGCCCAACUAUGCUUAAACUCUUAACAAAUACAUCUUGCAUAACAACCAAUACUGGGGGUUGGAGAGAUGGUUCAGCAGUUAAGAGGUCUUGUUGCUCUUACUUGGGAUUGGUUCCCAGCACAAUUGAGGUUGGCUCACAACCACUGGUAAAUCCAACUCCUGGAGAUUCCUUUCCUAACCCUCUAAAGGAAUAUAUAUGUAGAGAUACCUAAUUAACAAAACAAAACCCAUAUCUCAGCUGGAGAGGUGUCAAUAGUUAAGAGCUUUGGCAACUCAGAAAUCCUCUGCCUCCCAAGUGCUGGGACUAAAGGUGUGCGCCACCACGCCUGGCUCGAAUAUACUGUUUUAUAAGACCUAUAUAUUAAUUUUAUUAUUCAGUAGUCACUGGACAAUAACAAUGCACUGGUUUUCAGAUAAUUACCCCUUAGUUAAAGACAAUGUAUAAUGAAUUAGUACAUCUCUCAGCUGAAUAAACAGAGCUCUUAAAGAGUUCAGGGUUAGAGAAAUGGCUUAGUGGUUAAGAACAGUAGCUGGUUUCCAGAGGUCCGGAAUUCAAUUCUCAGCAACCACAUGGUGGCACACAGCCAUCUUAUAAUGUGAUCUGAUGCCCUCUUCUGGCAUACAGCUGCACAUGCAAAUAGAACACUCAAUUUACAUUACAUAUAGG
rnacentral:lncRNA from 1 species